AGAGAGCGGGAGCGCGUGCGCGUCCCCAUUUUAUUAUCAGGGUUUUGGGUGCUGAACUGACACAGCCCGAGGGCCCAUGAGGACAAGACAUAUUGACAUACCCAGGGCCCAGUUCUGCACUCGUAUACCCCCCCCCUAACACACACACACACCCAUGCAAUCCGCUCGGGGUAAAGGGGCCCUGGGGUCCUGCCUUACUCACACCACAUGGGCAACUUGGGCCUAGUUUUACACUAGUGUAAAUCCACUGAUUUCAGUGGAUUCUCUCCUGAUUUGCACCAGCGGGAGACCACAUCCAAGCCCAUUUAUUUCUGCCAAAGGAAUCCGAUAAAACAUAAAAACAUCUGUGACUUAAAUUAACUUUCACUAUCUUAAAACAACAACGAGUUGAAAUCUAAUCAAUGUUUAAAAAAAAGGGGGGGGGGAGGGGACUUUGAUGUCCUACCUAUGCCCCUGGGUCGUGCUGCCAAGUUUUGUGGUGUUUACAACUGCAUUUUCCUAUGUUUUUAAAACAAGUUUUUUCUUUCCUCUUGCUUCACAAACAGGGGAAAGUGACUGACUACACAGGGAAAAGAGUGAAACUGUGCCCAAAAGCCAAGCUUUUAAAAUAUCUGUUAGUCUUUAAGGUGCCACCAGACUCCUUAUUGUUGUUUUUUAAAUAUAGGUGCAUAAAGUUAGACUUCUGUGUUCAUAUUUAUGCACAUAACUAUGUGGCCUGAUUUUCAAAAAUACUGUCAACCCAGCUGCUCCCUAUGAAGACAAUAGGAGCUGCAUGAGCCACAGUUCUUCAGAAAAUCAACUUCUAGUCUCUCCUUUAACCUUGUCUCACAGGCUCCUGAUGGAGGUAGAAGUGUGAACCUACAUCUACUUUGACCCUGAUGCCACCUGUCCCCUGAUAUCCAGCCGCUAACCUAUCCCAGAUGUGGGCUAUUCAGGCCCUCCACUGCUUUCUGCACAUCAAGGCUUGAACCACUUGGAAUGUGGUUCUUGGCCUAUACACCUGUUAUUCCCAUCUGAUGUCCAGCUACACCUCAUCUCACUGAGAACUCUGCCAAACAGACAGUUAAUUUAUUUCCCUGCUGAGGAGUACCAAGGUACUGAUAACAUGCCUCUGUUCUAAGAUGAGGCAUUCUCUGCCAGUGAGCACUUUGGUACUGGUUUGAACUAUGCAAAAUCGUGCAUUAUUGAAACUUUUUGUGAACCUUGAAGAAGCCUCUGGACUUGACAGGUGUCAGAGCAGGGGGAAAAAAAUGUAACAGUGCCCUUUCCUCAAUCACAAACCAAAUCCACAAUACCAAAGUAGCAGUUGUUUUUACUAAAAUGAUCAGUAGUGAAAUAGUGAACUAUUUUGAUAUGCAAAUAAUCUCAGGCUUCAGAGUUAAUGUAUCAUUAAAUAUUAGUUAUUGCUGACCACUCCAGACAUCAAUGUUACAACUCACAUCUGGAGUCUAUCUACAAAGUUCAUUAACAUAUUGUUUUUGCCCUUUUCUAAAUCAUGAAGAUAGUGAUUAUUACAGUAGUCUCCAUUGUGCUAGGCUUUGGACACACCAAUAACAAAAAGAUGAUCUCUGCUCCAAAGAGCUUACAACUCCCCUCAACUCAAUACGGUAUUUGGCAGGUUAUAUUAUUUUAUAAUUAUGUUAUAGCCCUUUGCAAUUUUCAAUCCAUAUGAGUAUUCACAUUCAAGCCAGUUUGUAUUAAUUUUGAGUGUAAGAUUUUGUGACACACUGAAUAAAAUGCUGUAUUAAAAUCCAAA